AUUGAACGCUGGCGGCAGGCCUAACACAUGCAAGUCGAACGGUAGCACAGAGAGCUCGCUCUCGGGUGACGAGUGGCGGACGGGUGAGUAAUGUCUGGGAAACUGCCCGAUGGAGGGGGAUAACUACUGGAAGCGGUAGCUAAUACCGCAUAACGUCGCAAGACCAAAGUGGGGGACCUUCGGGCCUCACACCAUCGGAUGUGCCCAGAUGGGAUUAGCUAGUAGGUGGGGUAAUGGCUCACCUAGGCGACGAUCCCUAGCUGGUCUGAGAGGAUGACCAGCCACACUGGAACUGGGACACGGUCCAGACUCCUACGGGAGGCAGCAGUGGGGAAUAUUGCACAAUGGGCGCAAGCCUGAUGCAGCCAUGCCGCGUGUAUGAAGAAGGCCUUCGGGUUGUAAAGUACUUUCAGCGGGGAGGAAGGCGGUGAAGUUAAUAACUUCACCGAUUGACGUUACCCGCAGAAGAAGCACCGGCUAACUCCGUGCCAGCAGCCGCCGUAA
rnacentral:rRNA from 1 species